AUAUCAGUCAUGCAUAGCAUAUCAAUAAGCGGAGGAAAAGAAACUAACAAGGAUUCCCUUAGUAACGGCGAGUGAAGCGGGAAGAGCUCAAAUUUGAAAUCUUCAAGGUUUUACCUUGACGAAUUGUAGUUUAAAGAAGUGUUUUCUGUUGAAGUUUUGGUAAAAGUUCUUUGGAAUAGGACAUCAUAGAGGGUGAGAAUCCCGUAUUUGACCAUUACUUUCAGCUUUGUGAUACACUUUCAAAGAGUCGGAUUGUUUGGGAAUGCAGUCCAAAAUGGGUGGUAAAUUUCAUCUAAAGCUAAAUAUUGGCGAGAGACCGAUAGCGAACAAGUACCGUGAGGGAAAGAUGAAAAGAACUUUGAAAAGAGAGUUAAACAGUACGUGAAAUUGUCAAAAGGGAAGCGUUUGACACCAGUGUUGUUUUCUCGAAAAUCAAUUAAAAAGAGUUGGAUUUUGUGUUGUAUUGACUUUAUCAGGCUUUCUUCACUCUUUUCCAGCUUUUUUUAAUGCACUUUUCGUUUAACAAGUCAACAUCAGUUUCUUUUGUUGUAAAAAGGUCAUUGGAAGGUGGCUUUCUCUUCGGAGAAAGUGUUUAUAGCCUUUGACUCAUGCAAUCGGAGAGACUGAGGUCUGCAGCGUAGAUCCUUCGGGGUUAGAUACAUUUGUGCUAAGUUAUAGCUUUUCAUAGACAACUUGUUGACUAUGUUCAGUCUUGUAGCUUACUCGCUUAUGCUAUUUUACCUACGCUUAGGAUGUUGAACUCUAUCACACACAG
rnacentral:rRNA from 1 species